rnacentral:rRNA from 1 species
GACGAACGCUGGCGGCGUGCCUAAUACAUGCAAGUAGAACGCAGUUGCGAACGGGUGAGUAACGCGUAGGUAACUGCCUCAUAGCGGGGGAUAACUAUUGGAAACGAUAGCUAAUACCGCAUACUGUGAGAUGGACCUGCGUGUUAUUAGCUAGUUGGUGAGGUAAAGGCUCACCAAGGCGUCGAUACAUAGCCGACCUGGGAGGGGUACCGGCCCCGUGUGGACUGGAACACGGGCCAGACUCCUACGGGAGGCAGCAGUAGGGAAUCUUCGGCAAUGGAAGGAAGUCUGACCGAGCAACGCCGCGUGAGUGAAGAAGGGUUUCGGAUCGUAAAGCUCUGUUGUUAGAGAAGCGGUACCUAACCAGAAAGGGACGGCUAACUACGUGCCAGCCGCCGCGGUAAUAC